rnacentral:tRNA from 1 species
CAGUAAAUAGUUUAAUUAAAAUUUUAAUUUUGGAGAUUAAGGAUAAGUAUAUGCUUUUUACUGA